CCUCUGCAACAGCCACCAUAAACAGCAGAGCCUACGUAGUAUGUUGGGUCUGCUCUGGACAUUUUUAAUCCUGGGUGUCAAUGGGAUAUAUUUUUGCAAUUGAACAUCGUGUUCUGUUUAUGGAGCUUGUCCAGAUGUCUCCCGACGUUCCUUUCCCUCACAGUUCCCACACUACUCCUUCAUCCUUCUUUUUGUCCUUCACUUUGGAUUCCUUUCUGCGCCUCCACCGUGCUAAACGGAGCUGCAGAAGUCCAGGAGAUGAUGACAGGUUCCUGAAGAAAAGGAUCUGCUCCCCUCCAAACGUGGGCCAGAUGAGGAUCCUGGUUGCCUGGAGAUCCUUGCCUUCACUGCCCCCAUGUAGAUACGUGGCUUAUGCCAAUAAUGG
rnacentral:lncRNA from 1 species